rnacentral:rRNA from 1 species
AAGCGCUUACAACCAGACUUGCGCGCGGCGGUUCCCCCUUCCUUUUGGUUGGGCUACUCCGUCGUGUCCAGGCCAACAUCGGUUCGCCCCGGGGGAUAAAGGUUUCGGGAAUGUGGCUCCUCCGGGAGUGUUAUAGCCCGUUGCGUAAUACCCUGGGACGGACUGAGGUUCGCGCUCUGCAAGGAUGCUGGCGUAAUGGUCAUCAACGA